AUGUGGGAGGAAUGCUUGCCUCAUAUUGAAUUUGCUUAUAAUCGUUCAUUGCAUUCUACUACUAAGAUGUGCCCUUUUGAAGUUGUGUAUGGUUUCCUACCUCGUGCACCUAUUGAUUUGUUUCCUCUUCCAUCUUCGGAGAAGGUUAAUUUUGAUGCUAAACAACGUGCUGAAUUGAUUUUAAAAAUGCAUGAGUUAACUAAGGAAAACAUUGAGCCCAUGAAUGCUAAAUAUAAACUUGCUGGAGAUAAGGGUAGAAAACAUGUUGUUUUUGCACCUGGAGAUCUUGUUUGGUUACAUUUGCGUAAGGAUAGAUUUCCUGAUUUGCGCAAAUCAAAGUUAAUGCCACGUGCUGAUGGUCCCUUUAAGGUGUUAGAGAAAAUAAAUGAUAAUGCAUAUAAACUUGAGCUGCCUGCAGAUUUUGGGGUUAGUCCCACUUUUAACAUUGCAGAUUUGAAGCCUUAUUUGGGUGAGGAAGAUGAACUUCCGUCGAGGACGACUUCAUUUCAAGAAGGGGAGGAUGAUGAGGACAUCAAUACAAUUGUUACACCCACAGCCCCUGCUGCUAUACAUACUGGACCAAUUACUAGAGCUCGUGCACGCCAACUAAAUUACCAGGAAACAGACCCUCGUGGUCAGGUUGAUCGUGCUCCGGCGUGGUCAAUAACCUCUCGGAGUUGGUUUAGCGAUUGCUAA
rnacentral:rRNA from 1 species